GAAUGCUGACAUAAGUAACGAUAAAGCGGGUGAAAAGCCCGCUCGCCGGAAGACCAAGGGUUCCUGUCCAACGUUAAUCGGGGCAGGGUGAGUCGACCCCUAAGGCGAGGCCGAAAGGCGUAGUCGAUGGGAAACGGGUUAAUAUUCCCGUACUUGGUGUUACUGCGAAGGGGGGACGGAGAAGGCUAUGUUGGCCGGGCGACGGUUGUCCCGGUUUAAGCGUGUAGGUGUGUGUUCCAGGUAAAUCCGGUUCACUUUAACACUGAGGCGUGACGACGAGGCACUACGGUGCUGAAGCAACAAAUGCCCUGCUUCCAGGAAAAGCCUCUAAGCAUCAGGUAACACGAAAUCGUACCCCAAACCGACACAGGUGGUCAGGUAGAGAAUACCAAGGCGCUUGAGAGAACUCGGGUGAAGGAACUAGGCAAAAUGGUGCCGUAACUUCGGGAGAAGGC
rnacentral:rRNA from 1 species